CGAGGCCCGCGGGGCGGGCGGGCGCGCGCGCGGGCGGGCACGUGGGGCCUCUUCGUCCCUGGCGUCCCGGCGGCCCGCGCCAUCCCCCACCCGGUCCCGGCCCCGUGGCGGCGGCGGCCGACAAAAUCAUUUAGAACCAGAGAGAUGAAAUGACUAACUCAAGGUCACUCAGUGUGGAGGAGACAGUGUCGAGGAUGGAAUCCAGACCUUCUGAUUUCCUUAUUGAACUACUCCGUCUUGUGGACACGUGAGUUCCACAAGAUUUCAACAUGAAUUCUACCACCCAUUUUACAGAUGAAGUCACUGAGAUAUGGAGCAACUGACUAAAUAGUCAUAGCCGCACCCAUGGAACCUCACAGAUGACUCUUCUCUCAAUCAGUUGAAGUGUGGUCUUGUUAGCACAGCAAGGUAGUUUAAAAUAUGACUUUGGAUCCAGCCUGUUGGAUUUGAAUUCUGAUUCUGCCAUUUACUGUGUAGUUGUGGAGUUUACAGAGCAGUCAGAAUGACCCUCAAAGGACCCAGAAGAUGGCUCAGUGGCUUACAGUGCAUACAUGGUGAGCACAGCAUUGAGAGUUCAAAACUUCCGUAUACUUUCACUGUCUGACAGCUCUGCUGUUGAAGAUCUCAGAGAGGAAGGGCCUGGACUUAGUCUAGGGAGCGGGAUGAGGAGGGAUGCUUGAGCCAACCCGACAGUGCUGGGAUUCAAACCUUGGAAUCAUUGCUGCAGCCACAUGCAAGGCAAAGGACUCGAAGCCAGGGACCCCUGCACACAAGACAUAUGCAAAGAUAUACGCAAUACUUCCAAGCCAUAUCCUUCUGCCCUUCCACCAAGUUUCAGUAUUGUACCUGCUUUUCAAAAUAAAAUUUUUUAUUCACA